AAGAAGAAGAAGAAGAAGAAGAAGAAGAAGAAGAAGAAGAAGAAGAAGAGUGAGAGAGAGACAGCGGAGUUGAGAAAAUUCGAAGGCGAAGAGGGCUGAGCUUCGGGGAGCUUUGCAACGGAGCAAGAGCUCUAUUAUUUUCUUUUGUACUACGUAGGACAGAGCACCGUGAGGUGACUAGAAGUACACCAGGGGAAGAAACCGAAUGGACGAAGAAAAGGAGGAAAACAAUAAGCUUUGAGUUCUUGAUUAGGAUGGAGUAUACCAAAGCCAUGCAGCUUGAAGACUUGAACAUGGUGAUUUAUUUUUGGGAGCACGGAGUUAUACUAGCAGCACAGGAGAACUUUUUGGAAUAUUGGGGAUCAGCUCGGAGGACUAGAUAUCAAGAAAAUUUAGGGGAAACGAUGAUGAAAUUUCGGGUCGUGACAAGAGGAGAUUGAGGAACUUGGACGUGAGACAAAGGACCACCGAAGCAGAAGCCUAGAUCGUAAGGUAGAGGCUGCACGAUCUUAAUAACAUCGUUUUCAUACUAUUCAAUCACUAUAAUGCUCUAGGAUUUUACGGAACCGAAUUUGGUUGAAUCGUUUGGAAGAUAUUCGGUUUUGAAGUUUCUGCAAACAUGAUGAAAAGUGAUUUUUGAGCCAGUUUUCUGAUCUGUUUUCUUCGUCCUUUGGAAUUCUGUUUGAUUCUGAUCUGUACCUUGUUGUUUGGGGAUUUCUUAGACGUCACCAUAGAGUUGAGGCAAUGAACGAUGUUUUGAUAUCGAUAUUUUUAAUCAGUGAAUUGAAGUUAUAUGAAUAUGUUUGAAAGCAAUAUUUUGACAUGAUUUAUUGGUAUGAAGUUUAGUCAAUUUAUUUUGAUAA